rnacentral:rRNA from 1 species
GAUGCGGGAGUGCCUUCGGGAAUCGGAACACAGGUGCUGCAUGGCUGUCGUCAGCUCGUGUCGUGAGAUGUUGGGUUAAGUCCCGCAACGAGCGCAACCCUUGUCCUUAGUUGCCAGCGAGUAAUGUCGGGAACUCUAAGGAGACUGCCGGUGACAAACCGGAGGAAGGUGGGGAUGACGUCAAGUCCUCAUGGCCCUUACGGCCAGGGCUACACACGUACUACAAUGGUCGGUACAGAGGGUUGCAAUACCGCGAGGUGGAGCCAAUCCCAGAAAGCCGAUCCCAGUCCGGAUUGGAGUCUGCAACUCGACUCCAUGAAGUCGGAAUCGCUAGUAAUGCCGUAUCAGAACGAUGGCGUGAAUACGUUCCCGGGCCUUGUACACACCGCCCGUCACAUCACGAAAGUGGAUUGUACUAGAAGUCCAUACAACUGGCCCAAGGUAUGAUUCAUGAUUGGGGUGAAGUCGUAACAAGGUAACCGUAA